ensembl:rRNA 5S_rRNA 5S ribosomal RNA
UUUUAGAACUAAAUUUACUGGCGCCAGAUCUCAUCUGAUCCCGGAAGCUAAGCAGGGUUGGGCCUGGUUAGCAUUUGGAUGGGAGACCGCCUUUGAAUACCGGGUACUGUAAGCU